rnacentral:rRNA from 1 species
GCAUGAAGUCGGAAUCGCUAGUAAUCGCGAGUCAGCAUAUCGCGGUGAAUACGUUCCCGGGUCUUGUACACACCGCCCGUCACACCAUGGGAGUUGGCAACACCCGAAGUCGAUGAGCUAACCGUAAGGAGGCAGUCGCCUAAGGUGGGGUUGAUAACUGGGGUGAAGUCGUAACAAGGUACC